rnacentral:rRNA from 1 species
UACGUAGGUGGCGAGCGUUGUCCGGAUUUACUGGGCGUAAAGGGAGCAUAGGCGGACUUUUAAGUGAGAUGUGAAAUACCCGGGCUCAACUUGGGUGCUGCAUUUCAAACUGGAAGUCUAGAGUGCAGGAGAGGAGAAUGGAAUUCCUAGUGUAGCGGUGAAAUGCGUAGAGAUUAGGAAGAACACCAGUGGCGAAGGCGAUUCUCUGGACUGUAACUGACGCUGAGGCUCGAAAGCGUGGGGAGCAAACAGGAUUAGAUAU